rnacentral:rRNA from 1 species
AUUGAACGCUGGCGGCAUGCCUUACACAUGCAAGUCGAACGGCAGCACGGGUGCUUGCACCUGGUGGCGAGUGGCGAACGGGUGAGUAAUACAUCGGAACGUACCUUAUCGUGGGGGAUAACGCAGCGAAAGCUGUGCUAAUACCGCAUACGCCCUGAGGGGGAAAGCGGGGGAUCGCAAGACCUCGCGCGAUUAGAGCGGCCGAUGCCUGAUUAGCUUGUUGGUGGGGUAAAAGCCCACCAAGGCGACGAUCAGUAGCUGGUCUGAGAGGACGAGCAGCCACACUGGGACUGAGACACGGCCCAGAGUCCUACGGGAGGCAGCAGUGGGGAAUUUUGGACAAUGGGGGCAACCCUGAUCCAGCAAUGCCGCGUGAGUGAAGAAGGCCUUCGGGUUGUAAAGCUCUUUUGUCAGGGAAGAAACACCGGCUCUAACACAGUCCGGGAAUGACGGUACCUGAAGAAUAAGCACCGGCUAACUACGUGCCAGCAGCCGCGGUAA